UUUAAGUUAAUAAGGGAAAUAUUAAAUAUUCACUCAUUCUCGCCUGUCUGUACAUUUCUCUCUUUCUCUGUCUACCUACUCUCUGUCUCUCUCUCUCUGCUUUUUGAUUGGCUAUUAGGAACGUGCGCGAUCUCCUAGGCAUGCUGCUAGGUGACGAAUGUGUGGCUCAGCUUAUUAUUGCUUAUAUUGACGUGUGUUAAUUACUUCGCGAAUUCUGUGCUCUCUGUGGUGACUUAUUUCGGUUUGGAGAUUUGAUUUCUGAUGAACAAUGCUUGACUACCGAUGAUUAUUGUGGCGGUGAACGCAGAAUUCCGAAAAAAAGAUGAACAAUGCCUGGCUAAUAC